GUGGUGGUUGACGGCGAGUCUGCGACGGAGCGACGUGGUUCAUGGUCGACGGUUUAUCUUGCUUCGAUUUUGAAUGAUAGCGGUUGUUGUGCGUCGGAACUGUUGAUGCGAUGUUUCGGAUUUCGUGGUACGCAUAGUCGGAUUUGUGAGAGGUAGUCAGUUUCUGGAUUUCACGGCGGCGGUGGUUUCCGCGAUUUGAUUUUCCGGUGGCUUCCAAAUUGUUCUUCCCUGCUAUUUUAUUGGUUUCAGACUGUACGUGUGAUGGAUUGGACUCUAGUCUCCUCCCUGAGGGUUAGGAUUAGUUGGUCUUUUAUAUGAAAUUCUGAUUUAAUUGGAUUUAACAUGUUAUAAUUUUUUUCCAAAUUAAUUUAGGAAAUGCUUUAAAAAUAUCUGAUUUGGAAAGAUUUAUUUUUGAAUGGAAUUGACGAUGAUGAACAAUGUUUCCU
rnacentral:lncRNA from 1 species